rnacentral:misc_RNA from 1 species
AACGCAACUUGCGCCUCGUCAGAGGCAUGUCUGUUUGAGUGCCACGAACCAGUGCGUGCACAUGCGCGUGUGGUGGGGCGUGCGUGUGGGUCGGGGGGGGGACGAAAAAUCUGCCCUUUGGCCGGCGCUGCCCCUGAAUGCAGCCAGAGAGUGGCCCGUUGGACCGGACCGAGUGCAAAGCGCACACGGCUGGUGCGCAUGCGUAUGCGUAUGCGCGUGCGUCGGCGUGUAUGCCUCGGCAUACGCAUCGAUCGCAUGCACAUGCACAUGCACAUGCAACCAGCACGUGCCGAUCUUGGUGCCGAGACGGCGGGCCAGGCGCAGCAAUGCGCCACUCUACAAUGCGGCCUCAAAUCAGGCAGGACGACCCGCUGAACUUAA